AAUCGCUCUUUCUUGAAGCAGGCUGUGUCUAGGUUUCUUGUGUGGCAGUCGGGUGUGUGAGAGCAGCCCCUCCACCGGCUGGUCCUGCUACCACAGACUCACUUGCAGUUGGAGCCCUAGAACUCCUGCAUGGCUGGACUCAGAGGGCUGGAGAUCUUCCAGUACUUAACUGAAUCUAGGGAGGACACGGUUUUUAAAUUUCUAAAUCAAAGAACUCUUUUGGCCUGGCUUCCUAGAGGUACCCUGUCCUUCAGCUGGGGACCUUCUCUCUAGGGCUCAUGCUCACUGACCAGCCUCUCCUUACAACUGAAGACUUUUGCAGGACACUCUUCCUAGCUGUUGCCUUCGUGUUGAGUCCCGGUGUCUGAGCGUUUCCUCCUGACUGCUGUACUUGAGCAAUCACCUGGCACAGGACAAGACAUUUCAAAGAAAGUAUUAAAUUCAUUCACGAGUGCCGGCUCCGUGGUGAGAGCUGCCUUGUACACUGCCUGGCCGGGGUCUCCAGGAGCGUGACGCUGGUGAUCGCGUACAUCAUGACCGUGACCG
rnacentral:sRNA from 1 species